AUGCUCCGCCUCCGAACCUCCAUCCUCACCCAUCUCGCCAUCCCCUCGUCCUCCGCCUAUCCCUGCUCCUCCCUCUGCCGCCUCCUCUCCGCCACCGCACCCCCCAUUUCCCCAAACGCUAGCAGCUUCGCCGUCGAGGACUACCUCGUCGGCACCUGCGGCCUCACCCGACCCCAAGCCCUCAAGGCCUCCGCCAAGCUCUCCCACCUCAAGUCCCCCUCCAAGCCCGACGCCGUCCUCGCCGGCCUCGGCCUCUCCGGCGCCGAUGCCGCCGCCGUCGUCGUCAAGGACCCGCAGUUACUCUGCGCCAAAGUGGACAAAACCCUGGCCCCCGUCGUCGCGGGGCUCACCGUCCUCGGUCUGUCGCGUUCCGAGAUCGGCCGCCUCGUCUCGCUCGCCCCGGCCAACAGCCGGUGUAGAUCCAUAGUCUCCAAGCUGGACUACUACCUGCCCCUCUUCGGCUCCAUCGACAACUUGCUCCGGCCGCUCAGGCGCAGCAACUGCCUCCUCCGCUGUAACCUCGACAAGGUGGUCAAGCCCAAUGUCGCCUUCCUACAAGAGUGCGGGCUAGGUGCUUGUGAUAUUGUCAAGCUGUGCAUCCCUGCAGAGAGGAUUCUGACCACCAACCCAGAGCAGGUCCGGGCGAUGGUGGCAUGUGCCCAGAGACUAGGUAUGCCCCCUGGCUCUGGGAUGUUUAGAUACGCGCUGCAGGCUGUCGCUUUCCUCACCCAGGAGAAGAUCACCGCCAAAGUGGAGUACUUGAAAAAUACAUUCAGGUGGUCAGAUGCGGAGGUGGCCCUUGCUGUGUCCAGAAAUCCGGGUGUGCUAAGGAGGUCAAAGGAAUCUCUGCAGCGCAAGUCUGAUUUCCUCAUCUCCGUGGUGGGGUUGGAACCGGCCUAUAUUUCUCGUAUUUCAGUAUUCAUCACUUUCAGCCUGGAGUGCCGGCUCAGACCCCGGCACUACGUUGUAAAUUUUCUUAAGGAAAAUGGACUGCUAGAUCGCGAGCGGAGCUACUAUGCAAUUUGCAGGAUGACUGACAAGGCUUUCACGGACAAGUACAUAUGCCCUCACAAGGAAGCUGCACCGCACCUUGCCAAAUACUAUGCUGCCGCUUGUCGAGGGGAAUUGCCUGCCCAGUAG
rnacentral:rRNA from 1 species